GACCUUGAGGACACCUGAUAGCAGUAUCAGUUGAUGAAAUCGGAUUAUCGCAUCGAUCUUUUGUGGAUAUAAACUCGCCGAAGAGCGAAUCACAAAAGUUGCCGAUGAAUAUUCUGAUAAUUAUGAAGUGUUUUUUAUGCAAAGCUGUUAUUUUGUUAUAAUCUUAGUAUUGAUCGAUACUUGGACAAUAUAUCUGAAUCCACAGAUUCACUGGUGAAUGGGGACUUAAUUUGUAUUCAGAUUCUCAUGUUGAUUAUGUCUGGUGUCGAUGAUUGUGUAGUGAACGCGAUGCAUCCAGGCAGAAAUUUCACUCCGAUACCCGAGUAACCUGUUUAAGUUUCUUGGAGAAUGAGGAAUGAGAACAAAGACGACCCAAAUUGAAAAUACAAUCGAACAAACAAGCGUUGAUAGGUGGAGUUGCCAUGCACUUUGCAACAGUUUAAUUAUACAAACGAUAACGGCCGAAGAAAUUGCAUCCAAAGUCGUCAUAAUGUCGAACUGAAAACAGGAUCCCAACGUAACAAUUCAGUAGCAGUAAACCUGAAACUCCAUGGUUGAAGCAAGCCAAUUUGACACAAGUCUAAAGACGGAGUAAUAAUUUUGCUUGGUCUGUACGACAACGCCACUUGGCCCACUCACGCGAGUGAUUCACAUCGGAUUUUGACAGCAACACCGAGUGGUAUAACCCAGUGAGAGAGAAAUCAGGCGAUUGUAAACACUCACCGCUCCAAGACCAUUCUCCACGCUUGUAUAGCUGAGCAAGCGUAAGUAGUUGAGGUUCUUUCGGUUUUUUUCCUUUUUCGUGGUGCUGCCAAGUGCCAGAGGUGCAGUCAGGAAUUAAUGAGAGAACAAAAGAGCAGUCGUUCAUCAGGUUGUCGCCACUCUGACCAGCAUCAUUUUCCUUGGUGAAUUAUACUGCCCAUUCAUGCUGGGACUACGCCAAUGUGGGGAAUUUUAUGGAGUCAGAGGGGGUGGGAUCGGCCGGCAAAAAGUCUUAAUUCAAUUAAAUAUUACACGGAGAGAAAAUUUAUUUAGAGAUUACGUGGCCGUAAUCUGCCAGUCACAAUAAUCUUCGGGAAAAAUUAGGGAACAGUGACGCACUUUUUCAGUGAACUUUCGAGAAAAGUAUGGAACAUUCAAUAAAAAAAUGCGCAACUGUUCCAUAAUUUUUACUGAAUAUUGUUUCGACUGAACUUUCAAUUUUUUACGAAUUUUUCUCGCAGUGUAUGGAGAGCGCAAAAUUCUACAAAAUUUAUGAAAAAAACAGGACAUUACGUUUCAAAGUAAAAAAUCAUCGAAAUUUCAUUUCUGAUUUUUUUAAUAAAAAUGGAAGAUGGAAGUGGAAUUGUACGACUCGUCAUGUCGAUUCUACCAUUUGCAAAAAUGCCAAAAAGUUGUCACUGUGAAGAAUUUUCUCGAAUUGAGACGUCCAUUUAAAAGAAUCUGAGCAAAAUGACUCCGAAGUUUUUUAGUGAUCCAGAUAGAUCUUCAAAAGACAAUCUAUUUAUCGAUUAUACUCUCAAGACCCUAUUUAUUUUAGGCUUUCGAGAAUCUUCGUAAAUAUCUUUAGAAACCCAUUGAUUCCUCAAUGUUUUGAUACCCCAAAAUGCUUCGACCCGCUCUCUCCAAAAUUCAUCAAAAAUAUAUCAGAGACAUCCCAAAAACAUAUAUUCUAUUUCUACCGAGUUAGUACUUAUCGAGCACAAAAAUUUACUGGAACCUCCCGAACUAUUUAAACCCACCAAUAAAUGCAUGAAUUAAUCAUCAAUAAAUCAAUAUUAACAAUCAUCAAUUACAUCAUUCAAAUAAUAAUUACUACACCUUCAUGAUCGCGUUUCCUCCGCUGUCCGAAUAAAUUUCUAUAAACUAAUAAUGUUCAGUUGGAGCAGCAGAACAUUUGUUUAUACCCAUUUAUUUGACGUCAUUGGACAUUCUAUUUUGCUUCUCUCGUUCAGGCAUGCAUGACUGGCCGGCCCCGUCCACCAGUGUCACCGACCUGCAUUCAAACGUUCAAAUGCACUCCCAUAUUGCUCAUAAUUUCACAAACACGUUGAGAUUCACGCA